rnacentral:lncRNA from 1 species
AUGAUACAUGAAACUUUAUUAAAAAGAGAAAUGGUAUAAUCAAACUACUUUUUGGUUUCAUUUUCAUUAAAAAAAAUAAGCUAAGAGAAAAGGAAAAGACUUACAACUAAAUAAUUUGUUUUCUAGGUCAGUUAUAAAUAAGGCAUUUAUCAUGAUUAAUAUUAUGAAAUUAUAUAGCCUACACAUGUCUGAAAACUGUAAGCACAUACUAAAAAUCACAUUAUCAGUGGUUAGCAGUCUGGAAUCCAGAUCCUUGGGUAUCAUGUUUGAUAUGACAUUCAAGCAAACUAUGAACAGAACUAUUAGCAUUUGCAUCCUGUUUAUGUAAGACUAUAGCUUCUAUCAAAUUACUCAUUUCCCUUCACCAAGAUGAAGAUAAGACAGUAUGAAAGGUCCCUCCACCAAUAUUUAUUAGGUCCUACUUGUUCACUUGGACAGCCCUGUAACCCACUGCUAAGGCAGAUGUACUAACAGCCUCCAUCUCACAGCAGCAUGGGCUAAGGGCAAUUUCUCAGUCUAGUAAUAAACAAUGUUACUUUUAUCAAUCUUACACCUAGAGCUGAGGCAUAUAUAUACAGAGUAUGGAUUGCCUCUUAAUGGGUUGAGCUUAGUUGUUCAAUAUUUUAUUUGGCAUUUGAGACUUGAAAAUUAUAAAAAUAUAUCUCAAAGUUGAUUUAUUGGUUUAAAAAUUUGCUACCGGGACUCUCUUUUA